UCACGUGCGGAAUGAACUGUGCUUUAUAACUUCCAGACGAGGAGUUAGGUUGUGUUUUUGUAGCUGUGUAUAGAAAGGUCAAUUGCUUGUUAGGUUCUCAGUGCUCAAGCACAGAUAAGGGAACCGCCAUAUGUUCCCCAGCCCCACAGCACAGCCGAUCCCAGCCAGGGUGAACUCUAUCUGCCUGUUCCAUGUGGGCCUGCCUGGCUCCUGAUCCAUCUUGCCUUGGUCCAGCUCCAUCUCCAAGGGCCGGAUCGAGGAACGGGAAUGCAGACGCGCUGUCCCGACGCGACCAAGAGGGUGCGUCUGGCGCCCGACCCUCCGGUUCGGUCCUGGGGGGGAAGGUAUGUGGAAGGACCACCAGAGGGCAGGCUGGGCUCAUGGAUAGUAGCCCAACAAGGCAUGGGAGACAAGGUAACCAGAGGCAAUUAAGCACA